UACGGGGGGGGUAAGCGUUGUUCGGAAUUACUGGGCGUAAAGGGCGCGCAGGCGGCUGCUCAAGUCAGGCGUGAAAGGCCUGGGCUCAACCCGGGAAUUGCGCUUGAGACUGGGCUGGCUUGAGUGCGGGAGAGGAUGGUGGAAUUCCCAGUGUAGAGGUGAAAUUCGUAGAUAUUGGGAAGAACACCGGUGGCGAAGGCGGCAUCCUGGACCGGCAUUGACGCUGAGGAGCGAAAGCCAGGGGAGCAAACGGG
rnacentral:rRNA from 1 species